AACGAACGCUGGCAGCAUGCCUAACACAUGCAAGUCGAACGAGACCUUCGGGUCUAGUGGCGCACGGGUGCGUUACGCGUGGGAACCUGCCCUUAGGUUCGGAAUAACUCCCCGAAAGGGGUGCUAAUACCGGAUAAUGUCUUCGGACCAAAGAUUUAUCGCCUUUGGAUGGGCCCGCGUUGGAUUAGCUAGUUGGUAGGGUAAAAGCCUACCAAGGCGACGAUCCAUAGCUGGUCUGAGAGGAUGAUCAGCCACACUGGGACUGAGACCCGGCCCAGACUCCUACGGGAGGCAGCAGUGGGGAAUAUUGGACAAUGGGCGAAAGCCUGAUCCAGCAAUGCCGCGUGAGUGAUGAAGGCCUUAGGGUUGUAAAGCUCUUUUACCCGGGAUGAUAAUGACAGUACCGGGAGAAUAAGCUCCGGCUAACUCCGUG
rnacentral:rRNA from 1 species